AAUCAACGCUGGCGGCGUGCCUAACACAUGCAAGUCGAACGAGAAAGUGGAGCAAUCCAUGAGUAAAGUGGCGCACGGGUGAGUAACACGUGACUAACCUACCCUUGAGUGGGGGAUAACCUAGGGAAACCUGGGCUAAUACCGCAUAAUACCUUCGGGUCAAAGGAGCAAUUCGCUUUAGGAGGGGGUCGCGGCCGAUUAGUUAGUUGGCGGGGUAAUGGCCCACCAAGACUGUGAUCGGUAUCCGGCCUGAGAGGGCGCACGGACACACUGGAACUGAAACACGGUCCAGACUCCUACGGGAGGCAGCAGUGGGGAAUUUUGCGCAAUGGGGGAAACCCUGACGCAGCAACGCCGCGUGGAGGAUGAAGCCCCUUGGGGCGUAAACUCCUUUCGAUCGGGAAGAUAAUGACGGUACCGAGAGAAGAAGCCCCGGCUAACUUCGUGC
rnacentral:rRNA from 1 species